GGUCAAGUGUCUUUAAUAUCUCAAUCCGGGGUGCAUCAAUUGCAUAUAUUUAUAUUCGUACUCGCAGUUUUUCACAUUUUCUACAGCGUUAUGACUAUGGUACUAGCUCGAGCAAAAAUGCAGAAAUGGAAGGCUUGGGAAGCAGAAACAUCGUCCGUGGAGUACCAAUUUACACAUGAUCCUGCAAGGUUCAGAUUUGCGCAUCAAACUACAUUUGUUCGGCGUCACUCAGGCUGGACUAGGAAGCCAGGAAUACGAUGGGUUGUG